GACGAACGCUGGCGGCGUGCCUAAUACAUGCAAGUCGAGCGAGCUUGCCUAGAUGAUUUUAGUGCUUGCACUAAAUGAAACUAGAUACAAGCGAGCGGCGGACGGGUGAGUAACACGUGGGUAACCUGCCCAAGAGACUGGGAUAACACCUGGAAACAGAUGCUAAUACCGGAUAUUAUGUGAGUUUCGCAUGAAAUUCAUAUGAAAGCUAUAUGAACGCUGCAGGAGAGCUUUGCGUCCUAUUAGCUAGUUGGUGAGGUAACGGCUCACCAAGGCGAUGAUAGGUAGCCGGCCUGAGAGGGUGAACGGCCACAAGGGGACUGAGACACGGCCCUU
rnacentral:rRNA from 1 species